rnacentral:rRNA from 1 species
CCUACGGGAGACAGCAGUGAGGAAUAUUGGUCAAUGGCCGCAAGUCUGAACCAGCCAAGUCGCGUGCAGGAUGACGGCCCUCUGGGUUGUAAACUGCUUUUAGUUGGGAAUAAUAGGGGCCUCGUGAGCCCCGUAUCGUAUGUCCCAUCAGAAAACGGACCGGCUAAUUCCGUGCCAGCAGCCGCGGUAAUACGGAAGGUCCGGGCGUUAUCCGGAUUUUUUGGGUUUAAGGGGGGCGUAGGCCGGCUUUUAAGUCAGCUGUGAAAGUCCGCGGCUCAACCGUGGAAUUGCAUUUGAAACUGGAGGCCUUGAGUGCACACAGGGAUGCCGGAAUUCAUGGUGUAGCGGUGAAAUGCUUAGAUAUCAUGAAGAACUCCGAUCGCGAAGGCAAGUGUCCGGGGUGCAACUGACGCUGAGGCUCGAAAGUGCGGGUAUCAAACAGGAUUAGAUACCCGAGUAGUC